rnacentral:ncRNA from 1 species
CCUGCUGUGCGACCAGCAGUAGCUUAGGAGGACAUGCGUCACUGGCAACGGUGGGGUGUGAAGCUUCUCUGACAAUAGGUCCCGGGCAACCGGUGGGUGUGCGUCGCGAGACUCGCACUUAGAUUCUCCCAGCAGCGAGGGGGUUGAGACC